ensembl:lncRNA
AGGUGAAUUUAUCGAAAUGACUGCUGACCUAUGGAAACAGAUGACUUGUGUUUGCUCACACCAGAACUAAAUGUGAUCUAGUCUUAUCAGCAUUCUUUUUAGUAUUGUUGAGACAGUACAGUAAAAUGGUCACAGAAAUAGUUCAAAGAGUUUUGAAGUACUUCAGAGUAAAUGAUUUCUCUCUUGUACAUCUGUGCUCUUGUGCAGCCUCUAAGCUGAACAGUUCCUCUAAGUAUAGUUUUAUGCCAAGUGUUGUUUCCUAAGCAAAGCUGUGGGUUUUCCUGAACUGGAGUUAUCAGUAAUUUUCAUGGGUUCCUUUGGACAGAAUAAAUCUUUUCUGAAUCUUUUUGACAGCUGACUUCUGGAGUUGGACACAAUGCCAAUUGAUAAAUAUCCUUUAUUAAGAAAAGGAAAAUUCUUGAUUUCUGAAGUGCAUGGCACAUUUUAAUUUAGCAGUCCCUUUUUAAUAUGAUUUGCACCUGGUAGGUAAUGUCCUUCUAUAAAUAUCACUAAAGUGAUCACAAUUUAUAUAAAGGUGUGUGUUUUCUUAUGAAAAACUACAGAAGGCUUCUUUUGAUCUAUAAUACCUCUUCUCUGUAGUCUGUAAUGACAACCCAGAAGUGCUGUGUUGAUUUUACUUCCUCCCCUGUCAAUAGGCUUACCUUUGGAUGGCAUUCUUACUGCCACAUGUGAGCAUGGCACAGGAAAUCACACCAUUGCCAUUGCCCUGCAGAGUGGCAGUGAAAGGAUUGCUGCUGUGUUUGAGGGGCACAGACUAGCCACAGAGCCUCCAACAUCCCAGCUAUCUGUGAUCUUAAAGCACAACACCUCAAAGAUAAAGAAACUUGGGAUCCCUUUUGUUUUAGAAGCUGCUGGCUAUUAUGAGAAUUUCUCCAGAAAGAUUGCUGUGGGGAUAACAACCACAGUGGAGACAGAGCAGCUCAAGAUUGAAAUAGAGAAGAAAACCACUGACACUGCUAUGGAAAUUUCUCUUUCGCUUCACCAUGAUGUGGGAGGACUGAUGGACAUUUUUCCAUGUGUACUAGAGGUUUGCAAAAAUCCUGCCAUAGAUUGUAAUGUAUUUAGUGCACUAAACACUAAACUGUUUAUCUUUUUGAAGCACAACUCUAAUGCUUAAUCUUAAAUCUACGUUUUGGUGCCUUCAUUCAUUUGAUCCUUAAAGCAGCUCUGUCACUUGCUCCUUUGAAUUUUAGUCCUCCCUGCUUUUCUUCAUACUCUGAAUGCUUUUUAUUGACAACAUCAACAGGUUGCUUGCAGUGCAGAAUCUGCUGACAAACAACUUUCUGGCCUUUGCAAUGGUGCAAUUGCAUUUCAUCAUUCUGAGGUACUGGCUUCAUUUAUAAACUUUACUCUCAACAAUAUAGUGCUUUAACUCCCAUGAAGGGAAUUUAAGUACUGAAAGUGUCAGGCACGUAGAAAUGGAUUUGAGCUUCCUGGAAGUUUUGUGUGCACUUUCAAAUAUUUUUACUCUAUUAAUUAGGUUUUCUAAUUAGGUUUAAAUAAUUAGGGUUUUUUUCCUGUUAUUUCUAUUAUGAAACUCCAAAAUAAAGAUUUGGGUCCAUCUCUCCAUUUGUUUCAGCAUUUAUAAUUAUAUAGGAUGAAUACAAAAUGGUGAAGGCAACAGUUCUCUUUUAGUAAUAUGAGCUUUUAAAAAUAGCAUGUGAUCUGAUAGGAAAGCAAACUUGACAACUCUUUUCUGUAAUUUUUCAGGCUCCAGCAAGAGUUUCACUGAAUGGGUCAAUAUUUACCAGCAACUUUACUGUCAUCCUCUUUGGACACGUUUCUUUUCAUGACAUAUUUGCCUGCCUGCAGCUCUAUGCCACCACUAACACCCAUCCUCAUUUAGAAAUCAACUUCCAGCAUUCUUUGCCUUCACUUCAUUCUCUGGGAAUUGCCAAAGAGAACCAACUGAAGGUGUUAGCCAUGAGAAGUGACAAGUACAAGGGCAUCCUUGGUGUUGUCCUAGGGCCUUGCACUUUGGAAGCUGAUGGGGAAGUGAGCCUGGCAAGCAAUGAGACAGGAUGGGUACUUGCUUUCAGAAACAAGUGCGUCAGUCUAGAGGUAAGCCCAGAUUGUUUUAUGCAUGCCCUUCCAGUCUGUGUUUUUCAGAUCACUGAGUCACAGAAAACUGUCUCCUGACACAUUUAUGGAUAGGCCAAAUUUAGUCACUAAAGUUGUUCUGGCAGAGCAAUGAGUCAGAGCACUUGCAGGGGGAAGUGUAUUUGAAUAUCAUAAUUUGGAGUAAUACAAUGGUAA